GGGUGCAGCCCGCCGAACUCUGCCGGCAGCCCAAGGGUUGAAACAGGCAGAGACGGAGGAACCAAUCGGCCGAGGAGGCCUGUGGAGAGCCGUGUGCUCAAAACGGGAGCCGGGGCCUGGGGUGAAGCCAGACCGCAAGGUACGGCCGGAUGACUCGCAUCCGAACCCGGCAGCUAACUUCGCAGGCGCUAACGAGAGGUUUC
rnacentral:sRNA from 2 species